AGGGACGAUCCCAUAGUCAUCACUAUAUUCUACCAUGCCCGGGGCCAUGAAUUGCCAAACAAAUGCCCCUGCUCCAGCUCUAUUCCUUCUCGCAGACUUACGGAUAAGAUCAUAUAUAAACUUGUAAAAUGUUUCCCGGUGAGUGGGGUCGUAGUUCUUGUUCAUGUUUGAUAUCCCGAAUUCAGUGAAGAGGACGGGCUUUUUCAGCUCUCGUUCACCGUCUUCGAUAUGUGAAGUUAUCCAUUUUGAGACGAACUUCAUUUUCUCUUCAUUUUCAGCCCCCAACAACCAUUGAUCGGGGUACAUAUGAACAGAAGCGAAGUCGAUUGUUGGGAUUUUCGAAUUGCGGAUAAAAU
rnacentral:misc_RNA from 1 species